rnacentral:rRNA from 1 species
CUGCUAGGGGAAUUGUACUAAGUCAUGCAAGUUAACGCAUUUGCCUAUGUUAAUGCGUAGCGCAAAGCUCAGUAACGCGUAGACAAUCUAUCCUAAGUUCAGGGAAAAGCUCGGCAAACUGAGUCUAAACCCAGAUAAUCGCCUUAUGUUGGAAUACUUAGGCGGUAAAAGGAGCAGGAGCAUGGUCCUGCACGUCUUAGGUUGAGUCUGCGUUCCAUUAGGCAGUUGGUGGGGUAAUGGCCCACCAAACCGAGGAUGGGUACGGGUCAUUGGCGUGAUAACCCGGAGUUGGAUUCUGAGACAAUAAUCCAGGGGCUAUGGCUUGCAGCAGGCGAGAAAACUGGACAAUGCACGAAAGUGUGAUCCGGCAAUUCCCUGUCCCAAGCGCAAGUUUGGGUUUUGUUGAGUGUGAUUAGCUCGACGAAUAAGGAGAGGGCAAGAACGGUGCCAGCCGCCGCGGUAAAACCGUCUCUUCGAGUGGCCGACGUGUUUAUUGGGCCUAAAGCGUCCGUAGGCGGACUAGUCCGUCCUACAUUAAAGACGGCAACUUAAAGUUGACUAGAAAUCAAUCUAGUUGACGAGAAAUUGUCUGAAGUGUGUAGGAAACUGCUAGUCUUGGCAAUGGGAGAGGUGAGCCGUACGGUAGGAGUAAGGGUGAAAUCUUAUAAUCCCUUUCGGACGACCGAUGGCGAAGGCAGCUCACUGGAACAUGUGCGACGCUGAUGGACGAAAGCCAGGGGAGUGAGUCGGAUUAGAUACCCGAGUAAUCCUGGCUGUAAACGAUGCGGAUUAAGUGUUGGAUGGUCAAGAGGCCAUUCAGUGCCGAAGCGAAGGCGUUAAAUCCGCCGCCUGGGAAGUACGAGCGCAAGCUUGAAACUUAAAGAAAUUGGCGGGAGAGCGCCACAACCGGUGGAGCCUGCGGCUUAAUUGGAUUCAACGCCGGAAAACUCACCAGCGCCGAGAACUGUAUGAUUUCCCCGCUAAAGACGGUGAAUGACUUGUUCAGCGGAGGUGCAUGGCCGUCUACAGCUCGUGCCGUGAGGUGUCGUGUUAAGUCACGCAACGAGCGAGACCUACGUUCUUAGUUACUAGCGAAUCCUUCGGGAUGUCGAGCACCCUAAGAGGACUGCCAGUGCUAAACUGGAGGAAGGUGUAGGCCACGGCAGGUCAGUAUGCCCCUAAUGUGCUGGGCCGCACGCGGGCUACAAUGCACAGGACAAUGGGACCCUACUCCGAAAGGAGACGGAAAUCUCGAAACCUGUGCGCAGUUGGGAUCGAGGGUUGCAGCCCACCCUCGUGAACUUGGAAUCGGUAGUAAUCGCGUUUCAUGAUAACGCGGUGAAUACGUCCCCUCUCUUUGCACACACCGCCCGUCGCAGCACGCGAGUCGGGGAUGGAUGAGGCCUGUUCUAUUAAACGAGCAGUUCGAGUCUGGCCUCGAUGAGUGGGCUG